rnacentral:rRNA from 1 species
UACGUAGGUCGCAAGCGUUGUCCGGAUUUACUGGGCGUAAAGAACGCGCAGGCGGCUGGUCAAGUCCGAUGUGAAAUCUCCCGGCUCAACUGGGAAACUGCAUCGGAAACUGAUCGGCUUGAAGAUGGGAGAGGGUAGUGGAAUUCCCGGUGUAGUGGUGAAAUGCGUAGAUAUCGGGAGGAACACCAGUGGCGAAAGCGGCCACCUGGACUGCACCUGACGCUGACACGCGAAAGCUAGGGGAGCGAACGGG